rnacentral:rRNA from 1 species
GAUUAAGUUAUUAAGGGCGCACGGUGGAUGCCUUGGCACUAGAAGCCGAUGAAGGACGUUACUAACGACGAUAUGCUUUGGGGAGCUGUAAGUAAGCUUUGAUCCAGAGAUUUCCGAAUGGGGAAACCCAGCAUGAGUUAUGUCAUGUUAUCGAUAUGUGAAUACAUAGCAUAUCAGAAGGCACACCCGGAGAACUGAAACAUCUUAGUAACCGGAGGAAGAGAAAGAAAAUUCGAUUCCCUUAGUAGCGGCGAGCGAAACGGGAAGAGCCCAAACCAACAAGCUUGCUUGUUGGGGUUGUAGGACACUCUAUACGGAGUUACAAAGGACGACAUUAGACGAAUCAUCUGGAAAGAUGAAUCAAAGAAGGUAAUAAUCCUGUAGUCGAAAAUGUUGUCUCUCUUGAGUGGAUCCUGAGUACGACGGAGCACGUGAAAUUCCGUCGGAAUCUGGGAGGACCAUCUCCUAAGGCUAAAUACUCUCUAGUGACCGAUAGUGAACCAGUACCGUGAGGGAAAGGUGAAAAGCACCCCGGAAGGGGAGUGAAAUAGAACCUGAAACCGUGUGCUUACAAGUAGUCAGAGCCCGUUAAUGGGUGAUGGCGUGCCUUUUGUAGAAUGAACCGGCGAGUUACGAUUUGAUGCAAGGUUAAGCAGUAAAUGUGGAGCCGUAGCGAAAGCGAGUCUGAAUAGGGCGUUUAGUAUUUGGUCGUAGACCCGAAACCAGGUGAUCUACCCUUGGUCAGGUUGAAGUUCAGGUAACACUGAAUGGAGGACCGAACCGACUUACGUUGAAAAGUGAGCGGAUGAACUGAGGGUAGCGGAGAAAUUCCAAUCGAACCUGGAGAUAGCUGGUUCUCUCCGAAAUAGCUUUAGGGCUAGCCUCAAGUGAUGAUUAUUGGAGGUAGAGCACUGUUUGGACGAGGGGCCCCUCUCGGGUUACCGAAUUCAGACAAACUCCGAAUGCCAAUUAAUUUAACUUGGGAGUCAGAACAUGGGUGAUAAGGUCCGUGUUCGAAAGGGAAACAGCCCAGACCACCAGCUAAGGUCCCAAAAUAUAUGUUAAGUGGAAAAGGAUGUGGCGUUGCCCAGACAACUAGGAUGUUGGCUUAGAAGCAGCCAUCAUUUAAAGAGUGCGUAAUAGCUCACUAGUCGAGUGACACUGCGCCGAAAAUGUACCGGGGCUAAACAUAUUACCGAAGCUGUGGAUUGUCCUUUGGACAAUGGUAGGAGAGCGUUCUAAGGGCGUUGAAGCAUGAUCGUAAGGACAUGUGGAGCGCUUAGAAGUGAGAAUGCCGGUGUGAGUAGCGAAAGACGGGUGAGAAUCCCGUCCACCGAUUGACUAAGGUUUCCAGAGGAAGGCUCGUCCGCUCUGGGUUAGUCGGGUCCUAAGCUGAGGCCGACAGGCGUAGGCGAUGGAUAACAGGUUGAUAUUCCUGUACCACCUAUAAUCGUUUUAAUCGAUGGGGGGACGCAGUAGGAUAGGCGAAGCGUGCGAUUGGAUUGCACGUCUAAGCAGUAAGGCUGAGUAUUAGGCAAAUCCGGUACUCGUUAAGGCUGAGCUGUGAUGGGGAGAAGACAUUGUGUCUUCGAGUCGUUGAUUUCACACUGCCGAGAAAAGCCUCUAGAUAGAAAAUAGGUGCCCGUACCGCAAACCGACACAGGUAGUCAAGAUGAGAAUUCUAAGGUGAGCGAGCGAACUCUCGUUAAGGAACUCGGCAAAAUGACCCCGUAACUUCGGGAGAAGGGGUGCUCUUUAGGGUUAACGCCCAGAAGAGCCGCAGUGAAUAGGCCCAAGCGACUGUUUAUCAAAAACACAGGUCUCUGCUAAACCGUAAGGUGAUGUAUAGGGGCUGACGCCUGCCCGGUGCUGGAAGGUUAAGAGGAGUGGUUAGCUUCUGCGAAGCUACGAAUCGAAGCCCCAGUAAACGGCGGCCGUAACUAUAACGGUCCUAAGGUAGCGAAAUUCCUUGUCGGGUAAGUUCCGACCCGCACGAAAGGCGUAACGAUUUGGGCACUGUCUCAACGAGAGACUCGGUGAAAUCAUAGUACCUGUGAAGAUGCAGGUUACCCGCGACAGGACGGAAAGACCCCGUGGAGCUUUACUGUAGCCUGAUAUUGAAAUUCGGCACAGCUUGUACAGGAUAGGUAGGAGCCUUUGAAACGUGAGCGCUAGCUUACGUGGAGGCGCUGGUGGG